GAGGUCUCACGAUGUGAUUUAUUACCUUUAAACUAUUUGCACACAAAAAAUCAUAUGAUUUGGAUUCUCUAAUCUAUGCAUUAAAUGGUAAGGACACAUAUAUUGUUCCAUGUUGUUUAAAUUAUCUAAUUUAUUGGCCAUCAUCAAAAAAUUUAACUGCAAUUUCUUUCUCACAUAGAAAAGAUGCAUUCUCACAAGCAUAAGAUUCACUGCAUGAAUUCAAACGACCAUCCACCUAACCAA
rnacentral:lncRNA from 1 species